AUGAAGGGCUGUAGAAACUGUUCACCUGCCCAACCCCAUUGAUCGUGUUUAGAAGGUCGGUCAGGGCUGGACGAGGAGCUCGUUGUCUCCGGGUUAUUGGAGAUAAAGACGUCUGAUCGGGAUCCGUAGAGAAGACAUUCGAUCGUUGGAAUGAGAACUUUGAUCCAAAACAAGAGCAACAGCUCAAUGGAAGCAGUGCCAUGUUAUGGGGAUCCCCUAAUAUGGCUGCUUAUGAUUCUACCUAUUGUGGUGGUAUUUGCCCUAAUAAUUAUAUGCAUAUACUGCUGUAUUAAGACCAGAAGGAGAAGAAAAGCUGAACAAAUUGUUUGGAAGAGUCUUCAGAUAUAUUCACCGAUUCUGCCGCCGGCUUCAUCCCCACAUCAAGCCGGUUUCCAAGAAAACCUCUGGAUAGGCAAGAGAGCUCCACCGAACUCGUCUCUAUGAAAGAGGAGAAAAAGUCACCGGAAAAUGACGUCUAUGCAAAUUUAUCUCAAUUGGAACUAUAAAC